GAGAGGACCGAAGUUUCUCGUGUGGAAAGACGCGAGAGCGAGAGAAGAGACAGAGAGAGAGAGAGGGCAUACGUUACGGGUUGCGGCACAACGUCGUUGUAGAUCGCGAGAGGUAGACAACGGCGGUGAUGGCGCCGAGCGCUGGCCGAGGCCUCCUCGAGCACAAGCACUUCGAUCGGCAGAUGGGCUGCAUGUCCGGUUUCCUCCACCUCUUCGACCGGCACCAGAUCCUUGCACGGAAGCGACUCCCUCCACCGCCAAUGGUGAUGGGUUCGUUCGCCUCGCCGUCGGAGAUAUCGGAUGCAUCCUCAGGCUCGAUGAAGGACGGUCUUCGGUCCCCGUCGCCAGAUUUUCGUUCUCCGCCACCGCGGGCGCACCGUCUCCCGCUGGUCGAGGUCAUUGAUAGUUCGAGGUCCUCGUUACGUUCCAGAGAUACUCAGUGCCUUUCUCUCGACGGCGAGAGCAGGCACCGCGCGCGCGGGGCCUGGUCGGCGGCUGUGGUUGUCUCGCCCGGCGAACAAUCUGACGCCUCAGAGGCGGCAGACGAAAUCAAUCGGAAACGUCGCUCUCCUAGUGUCGUAGCGCGGCUAAUGGGGCUGGAUGCUCUACCAGAUUCUGCGGUCGACGAGGGCGGCUGUGAAUCUGGCCGGCCUGAGCUCCGUCGAUCCGCCUCCGAGUCUCGCGUUCCUGGACACGCAACAUCCUACCGGUUCCUCGACGGGGACGUCUACCCUAAACGAUCGCCGGCGGAGGCGGACCGUGUCUCCGUCGAAGAGUGGAUCAGAAAGGCAAAUCUCGGUGACAUUCGUAUUCCUGAGGCGAGGAAGUCUAAAUUUCAGGCGAAGACACCUCGCCUUCCACCGCUUCAGAGGAAGAGUUCCUUUGACGCGGACGAAUUCUUCCCCGAGCCGAAGAGACGCGGAUUGCUCCCAAUUGAACUCGAGAAACGGCAUUUGAUUCGAGGAAUGGAUGAAGCGCCGAGGGAUUUGGAGACGCUGAAGCAAAUACUGGAAGCUCUUCAGCUCAAGGGACUUCUCCACUCCACGCCAUCUGAUCACCAUAUCAGUGAUCGCCGCGACCUCUAUUCUAGGUUUUCCAAUUACUCACCAAUCGUCGUCAUUGAACCUGUUCCCUCGCCGCCCAGGCCACCAUCAGCAGAGCCUCGUCCGCAGAUGGCUUCCAAAUCCAUCGCUGGUCGGAGGAACAACGUAGAAGAGGCAGCCAUUCCUUCGCUACGGCAAAACCGAAGGGUAGAAAAUGGGACGAAGGAACGGACCCCGAACUCCUCUGCCAAGCGGAGGAUCUCAAGUGCGACGGAUUCUGUGCAGACUCUGCUACCACGACCCCGAACCUCAGCCGCAAAUCCACCUAAAACCCCUCCUCACCGAUUUGCCACUGUUCCAGCAUCUGGUCGACCACAAGCGAAUCGGCGACAAAAACUAGAGGUAGCACCGAAGCAGAGAAUAAACUCGCCGGCGCAGGGCGAUACGAACGCCACCGCAGCCCCUCCCACAAUGGACGUUGAGAAGUCUUGGGCGGAGGAUUACUGGGCGGGACGGCAGCUGUUGAAGCGGUGUGACCAAUUGCUGAGCAGCAUCGCGGAGUUUACUACGGCGGCGCAGGCUGCCGUCGCGGUGGAUCCAGUUGCUAAUGCAGCAACGGAGCAGCAACCAAGUCCCGUCUCGGUCCUCGAGGUAGCCUCGCCGCCGCGCUCUCUGGUUACGAAGCGCGCCAUCGAUUUCGAAGGAAAUCAGUUGCCUGGUUGCGAAGAGGAAAUGGUUGCGUCAAAUGAUGGAGACGAUCCGGCGGCGCGAGUGGAGGAGGAAGGAGAGGAAGAUGUCGAGAGCAACGACGAUGAUUAUGCGUGCGUGGCGCAGAUCCUGCGAUCUUCUGACAGCCCCGCCGGCGCUACCGACGUGUAUGCUCGAUUCGAGAAGCAGCGCAGUGCCUUCAAGUCCGUACCUCUCCACCGCCGCCUCCUCUUCGACGCGGUGGCGGAGAUCCUCGACCGGAAACGCUGCGCAUCGCAUCCGCCCUGGGAGUUCUUCGUGCGCCCAGGCUCCCUCUCCGCCGCGAGCCAGAGUGCGGGUGCCGGCCCGAUGCUGCCGGAGGUUUGGUCGGAGCUUCGGCGGGCGCGUGAGCCAGUGUUCGCCGACGACGUCAACGUCGUCACGUGCAUGGCGGCUCGCAGGGACCUCGAGCGGGAGGACCACGACGGCUGGGCCCGGCCGUCCGCCGAGGUGGCGGAGGCCGCCAUUCAAAUCGAACGGCGGAUAUUCAAGGACCUCGUCGACGGCACCAUAUGCGACCUCGUCGACGCGUGCCCACCGCGGGAGCCCAAACCGAGCAAAUCGAACGGUCGGCGUGGUUCAAUCAAGACCAACAAACGGUAGUGAUGGAUCGCGGUACUUCUAGGCCCAGUUUAAGCUCAAUUGGGGGCCAACAUAGCGUUUUCUGAAUGAUUGCGAUUAGGAAGGGGGACAAGGCACAUGGUGAAUGGUAGUGAGGGUUUGGCUGAUAGCAGGAGAGGCGAUGCGAAUGGACAAUAUCGAUCAAAUUCAAGAAGGAAGAGAUCCUAUCGGAUUCAACCUAUUACUAGCAAGGACAAAGACAGAGACAACCACUAGCUGUUGAUUUUGUGAGGUAUGUUGGUGAGUGUAGUAAUUUUCUGGCUCCAAUCUUUUCUUCUCAGCUGUCUUUUAAUAGAAGACAAAAAAAAAUUAAUUGUUUCUAUUAUAGAUAUAUGUGCCUGAGUGAGUCUCAUUGGCUCAUUGCUAGCUGAAAGCCUGAAACUUAGUAAAGUGUUUAAAAAAAAAAAAACUGCCACAUUAGCGGUCCCACUCUAAUAGAGGGAGGUUCAAUAGGAGUGGAGGUGUUAAAGGCAUGAUGAGAUACUCAUAGAAGAUGAAAUAUUGGAGAUCGACUUGUUUGAUCUGGAUAGAAUAUCAUGUGCUUACCCUUUAAGCCAAA